GAUCAUGGCUCAGGAUGAACGCUAGCGGCAGGCCUAACACAUGCAAGUCGAGGGGCAGCACGGUGUAGCAAUACACUGGUGGCGACCGGCGCACGGGUGCGUAACGCGUAUGCAACCUACCCAUAACAGGGGGAUAACACUGAGAAAUUGGUACUAAUACCCCAUAACAUCAGGACCGGCAUCGGUUUUGGUUGAAAACUCCGGUGGUUAUGGAUGGGCAUGCGUUGUAUUAGCUGGUUGGUG
rnacentral:rRNA from 1 species